AGGGUUUGAUCCUGGCUCAGAAUGAACGCUGGCGGCGUGCCUUACACAUGCAAGUCGGAUGUGUCGCAAGACACAUGGCAGACGGGUGAGUAACACGUGGGAAACUUACCUCUUAGUGGGGAAUAACGCUCCGAAAGGAGCGGUAAUACCGCAUGAGACCUAUCGCUGGGAUGCGAUAGAUGAAAGCUGGGGAUCGUAAGACCUAGCGCUGAGAGAGAGUCCUGCGUCUGAUUAGUUAGUUGGUGAGGUAACGGCUCACCAAGACUUCGAUCAGUAGCCGGCCUGAGAGGGCGAUCGGCCACACUGGAACUGAGACACGGUCCAGACUCCUACGGGAGGCAGCAGUGGGGAAUCUUGCGCAAUGGGCGAAAGCCUGACGCAGCAACGCCGCGUGGGUGAUGAAGGUCUUCGGAUUGUAAAACCCUGUCGUUAGGGACGAAGGUAGGAAUCCUAAUACGGUUCAUGCUUGACGGUACCUAGAAAGGAAGCCCCGGCUAACUCUGUGCCAGCAGCCGCGGUAAUACAGAGGGGGCAAGCGUUAUUCGGAAUUAUUGGGCGUAAAGCGCGCGCAGGCGGUGAAUGAAGUCGAAAGUGAAAGCCCCGGGCUCAACUCGGGAACUGCUUUCGAAACCAGUUCACUUGAAGGCGGAAGAGGGAAGUGGAAUUCCGAGUGUAGUGGUGGAAUGCGUAGAUAUUCGGAAGAACACCAGAGGCGAAGGCGACUUCCUGGUCCGAUCUUGACGCUGAGGCGCGAAAGCUAGGGGAGCAAACGGGAUUAGAUACCCCGGUAGUCCUAGCUGUAAACGAUGGAUACUAGGUGUUGGAGGUUUUAACCCCUCCGGUGCCGCAGCUAACGCAUUAAGUAUCCCGCCUGGGGAGUACGGCCGCAAGGCUAAAACUCAAAGGAAUUGACGGGGCCCCGCACAAGCAGCGGAGCGUGGGGUUUAAUUCGAUGAUACGCGAAGAACCUUACCAAGACUUGACAUGC
rnacentral:rRNA from 1 species